AAACACCUCCCUCCAGAUGACCAGCUGACCCACCCGCUGCUCAGACGCCAGCGGCAGCAGGCAGUAAUGCUGGCAGUACAGGCACACAUCCAGCAGGUCCUCUUUAGGCAAAUGGUUGGCGAUCAGGUAGGACUGGAAGUAGCCCACAUGUACCAGAUGUUUCCCGAGCAGCAGAGAAGAACUGAGGGGGAGAAGACAGGAAUCGAAGGACAAGCGACAUCAUGUCACACAGCGUGAGGAAGAUCCCCCUGACUCCUUUCAGCUGGCUGGAUGCUUCAGACACCGGAAGACGCACCAGCUGGCUGACCGGUGGAGACGCCUUCAUCUUACGGACCGAUGACGUGUCACUCGCGCUGCUGUCAUCCCCCAGAGCCACUGUCUCAAUGGAAAACCAGAGGUGUGCACAUGCACACACAGGCUUCCAAAGGGAAAGAAAAACUUCAAUCAUUGCACAUUCAUUCAGGAGAAGGCCGGAAGGUGAAUAGAAUAAAAAGUGACACCAACAUCCAGACCCAACUGCAGCGUAACAAAUAGCAAGGAACUGUGUGUGUUUGGCUAAAUUAAAACCAGAUCUCUGCAACACAAAGAAACAGUGGC